AGUCCGUCGGAUUACGGACGGCCCGAACUUGUAACAAGCGUCCACAGACAAAAAGCGUACUCAAAUCGAUCAUGUUAUACGUACUAUCGAAAUAUCGAGAAGAUUUUGCUUCGAAUGAAUUCGAAUUGAACUCCUUGAUGCUACCCGGAAAACAUUUGUCAUGAGUUUGGAACAAUCUGACAAUUAUUGUUCAUUGAUUUAAGGUAGAUAAUGGUGGAAGACUUGAUGCUGAGAGCUGGUUGGUUGAAGAUUUUGUAGUGAACGCCACGAUAAAACUCCUCCCGAGUGUUAAUUCUUUACCUGAGUUCGCCUUACUCUUACGCCUGACUCUUAACAUUUAAGUGGCCAUCCGUAUAUUAAAUAAUAAUAAAUAAAUACUUGUGGAA